AAUAAAUAAAUAAAAUCUUAAAAAAAGAUCCCCCCCCCUCCAAAAAAACCCCACCUCUAUCCACCAAAUGUAACCAAAGCUGUUGUCCUUGCAGAACUGGGUUUCCGGGUCUGCAGAAACCAUACUGGUGGGCUGUCCCACUGUUUCCCGCGCGGUGCCCCGCCCUGUGAGAUAUCGCUCAGUUCAGCGGAUAUAAGGCCCGGGGCACCGCAGUCAAGGUCUCGGUUGUGGACUUGGGAGGCUCCGUCGCCUACUUCCGAAGUGAGGAGGUCUGCAUAGUAGAAACCUCGGCGGGAGAACCUUUCAGGAUAGGAACGGGACAAGUGCCGAGAAGAUGAGUGUCAAGGUGGAUUUGGAAACAAACUUUGCCGAAUGUGUCUUAAAUGUAGGAAAGGUCAUCCUUGGGAAUAAACAAAGGAACGACAUGAAGCCUCAACUGCAGAAGAAACAGAAUAAAAUCAUCAUGAAUGCAAUCUGUGCUCUGCUGAAUUCUGGUGGCGGAGUGGUCAAGGCUGAGAUUGAGAACAAAGACUACAAUUACAAAAUCCAUGGCGUAGGACUGAAAAUGCCUUCAAUUUUUAAAGGCUAUUUAGAUGAGAUGCAGCAGGGAGACCUCUUUUUUAUUUUUGUGAAGUCAUGGAAUGCCGAGGCCUCUGGUGUACGACUGGCAACCUUGUCCUCCAAUCUGUACCACAGAUACAGAGCAUCGACUGAUGUCAUGAAUUCUCAGGAAGCACUGGCGUUCCUCAAAGGGAGAACUCAGACUCUUGUGAAUACUAAUGAUUCCAGUUCGUUAAGUCCCCAGAAAGUUCGAGCUGGUGUACAAGAUGAUGGUAACAUAAGGGCCUCAGCUGCUGCUUUAUUUGCUAGAACUCACCUUCAGUUCCUAGAAGAGCUCAACUUUACUACGUCCCUCCACGUUGAAUUUAAAAUGUUCUCAACAGAGGUGUCCCAGUGCUUUAACGAGAGUCUCCCCAGUUGUGUGUCUGCAUUUGCAAACACCGAAGGAGGGUAUAUAUUUUUUGGUGUGUGUGAUGAGACCAAGCAAGUCAUUGGAUGUGAAAAGGAGAAAGUAGAUCUUGUCGCCUUGCCUCAUUUUAUUGAUUGCUGUAUUAGGAAACUACCUGUCCAUCAUUUCUGUACACAGAGGCAUGAGAUAAAAUAUGCUGUCAAAUUCCUUGAAGUGCACAAUAAAGGGGCCCUCCAUGGAUAUGUCUGUGCAAUCAAGGUGGAACGAUUUUGCUGUGCAGUGUUUGCCAAAGUGCCAAGUUCCUGGCAGGUGAAGGACAAUCGUGUGAAACAGCUGGUCACAAAGGAAUGGAUAGCUUGGAUGAUGGAGGCUGAUCCAGAUCUUUCCAGAUUUUCUGAGAUGGUCCUUGCACUGAGUUUGUCAUCCAGCACACCACGUAGCAGGACUGUGUGCACUCAUAAGAAUUUUGAAUGUCUGAAAGAACAGCAAAAACGUUACUUUCCAGUAUUAUCAGACAAAGUGGUGUAUACUCCAGAAAACCUCUACAAGGAACUGUUCUCAAAACAUAAAGGACUCAGAGACUUAAUAAAUAAGGAAAUGAGCCGUUUCUCUCAAGGAAUACUGAUUUUUUCUCGAAGCUGGGCUGUGGACUUGGGUCUGCCAGAGAAGCAGGGAGUAAUCUGUGAUGCUCUUCUGCUUUCCCAGAACAACAUCCCACUCCUCUACACCAUCCUCAGUGAGUGCAAUGCAAGCAGGAUGGGCUAUUCUAUGACAGUCGCCCGUACCUUAAAGCAGAAGCUGGUGAACACAGGUGGCUACACUGGGAAAUUGUGCAUCACUCCCUUGGUCUUCCUGCUGAAUCCUGAUAGAACAGCAGAGACUCUUCAUUGUUCAGAUUUUCCAAUUUACCCCGAGUCCUAUAACCUUAGAACCACCCAGCACGUGGAAGCUCUGUUACAGUCCCUUGUGAUAGUCUUGCUUGGAUUCCGAUCUUUCUUAAGUGAAGAGCUGGGCUCUGAGGUUUUGAACAUACUCACAGAUAAACAGUAUGAGUUGCUGUCAAAGAACAUUCGCAUGACCAGAGAACUGUUUAUUCAUGGCUUACCUGGAUCAGGGAAGACCAUCCUGGCUCUUAGGAUAAUGGAGAAGAUCAGGAAUGUUUUUCACUGUCAACCAAGUGACAUUCUUUACAUCUGUGAAAAUCAGCCCCUGAGGAAGUUUGUGAGCAAGAAAAACAUCUGCCAGGCAGUGACCCGGAAAACCUUCAUGAAAAAUGACUUUCAAAAGAUUCAGCACAUCAUUAUUGAUGAAGCUCAGAAUUUCCGUAUUGAAGACGGGGACUGGUAUGAGAAGGCAAAAAACAUCACUCAGAGAGAAAACGAUUGCCCAGGAAUUCUCUGGAUCUUUCUGGACUACUUUCAGACCAGCCACUUGAGCCACAGUGGCCUCCCUGCUCUCGAAGCCCAGUAUCCAAGAGAAGAGCUCACCAGAGUGGUCCGCAAUGCAGAUCCAAUAGCUAACUACCUGCAAGAAGUAAUGCAGGAGGUCAAAGAAAAUCCUCCACCUAACAUCCCCCUGGGGUCCCUGGAUAUGGUUCGUAAAGCUAAAUGGGCUCAGGGUAUUCCAGGCAACUUUGAGAUUAUGGAGUACUUGGACUUGGAAGAGAUGGUUGUCCAAGUAGCAGAGAAAUGUCAGUCUCUCUUUAGGAAUGGUUAUUCUCCCAAGGACAUUGCUGUGCUUUUCAGCAAAGCAAGUGAAGUGGAAAAAUAUAGAGAUAAGCUCCUAAGAGCAAUGAGGAAAAGAAAAAUAUCUCAGCUCAGUGAGGAAUCUGACCUGUUAGUACAGAUCAAGGAUGCAUCAGAUAUCAUGGCCAAUCACAUUGUGUUGGACAGUGUCCGACGAUUUUCAGGCCUGGAAAGAAACAUCGUUUUUGGGUUCAAUCCAACAGCAGCCGAGCCAGCUGUUUUCCACAAUCUUCUGCUCUGUCUGGCUUCCAGGGCGAAGAAACAUCUCUAUAUUCUGAAGGUUUCCAUUUGACAGGAAGAUCCCAGUCUAAGAAACAAUUAGGUAGCUCUCAUCUCUAGUUAACCAUGAAACCAGUGAACAAAAGCAGGCUCUGGACAAUUUAAACAAAAACAAAAAGAAUUUAUUGGAAUCAUGAGGGAGGACCACUCACAGAAUCAAAGACAAGCUGACCAAAUAGGCCUUAGAGAAGAUUAGUACCUGGGAAGAUCCAAGGAUCUAGAUGGCUGGUAGGAAUUGGCUCCAGUCAUUUUCUUUACUUUGGCUUAUGAAGAUCAAAUUACAGUGAAAGACUUGUAUUUGCCUAGUGUGGAUACUCCACUCCACUCUUAGCUACCAUAGCAAAGACCCCUUGGUUGAAAAUCUCCAAAAGUCGAUGUAACAUGGAAAGAAUAUUGGUUACUAGUAUAGGGUGAGAGGAUGUUCUGUAGGUUGAAACAACAGAUGCCCAUUAUGGUAAUCAACAAAAGUUAGGGAGUCAGGAAGGAGAGUGAAGAAUUCUAAAUGCUAACGUCAUCUUUCAUGGCAAGGAAUUGAUUAAUACUAAUACAGAUUUUAAUGUAACUUUAAAAAUGAUUCCAAGCAUUUUAAUUGCUUUUUUCAAUUUAAUUGUUUUAAUGUUGGAUCUUUUAGUAGCUAAAAGUUCUUAGGUUAAAGAAAUAUAUUAUGUAGUUCAGCUCUUCAAUUUUAUUAGUUGCCUUUUCUUCCAUUCAUUUCAAGUAAAAUGUGAAAAUAAUUUUUAAAUAGUAUGUAUAAUAUCUUUCCACUUAAUAUAAUUACUUUUGUCUAGCUGUUCUUAUAGAUUAUGUGAUAUAUUAAAAAAACCUGCUUUCUGGUAUAUUUUUAACCUUGAAUGUUUCUGAUUGCUGGGAUUAUGGGUGAUGUGUUGCUUCUUUUUUUCUUUCAGUAUUGCUAGAAUUAAUUUUAUUGACUUUGUACCUUUGUAUAAAGACCUCAAAGGUCACAUGUUGAAAUCUCUCUCUCUCUCAAAACAGAAUUCAUAGAAAUAAUGGAAAAGAUAUCUUAAAGCAUUAUUAUAUAGUCAUGCUCUAAAAUAACAAAAGCACUUCUCUGUGGACCAAAAACUAUGAGGCAUUUGCAGAAGGAGGGAAGAGUGGGUAAACUAUAGUAAUAGACAGAGGUUGGCCCCACCACAAGCCCAGGACAACAACUCUACUGCAAAGUCAGGAUUCACAGCCAGAAACUUAAUGUGAGACUGAGGCCAAUUCCAUUUGACCUCCUUGUGGCCACAUCUAGGCCUCAAACUAAAAUACCCAUACCUCAGGCUUUCUUACUGUUGGCACUAUUGGCAGAUUGAGCUGGAUAAAUCUUUGUUGGGGGUGGGGGGCUUUCUGGGGUAUUAUAAGAUGUUUAGCAGCAACCCCCUACUCCCAGCUACAACAAACAAAAAUGCCUCUAGAUAUUGCCAAGUGUCCCUCAGGGGGCAAAAGCACCACUACCAUACCUCCCUAGACUAAAAUAGGUUCCAGAAUAAUGGGCAGAAUAGACAAGUCCAACAUGUACCAUACUACCAUCAAGAUUCAGAACAUUAAAGAUAUUUUUAAUCCUAAAGAGAAAAAAGUUUAGAUAAUUUACAAAAAGAAGAAUGGAUUUGACAGUAACUAUUUCAUUAGCAAGACUGGAUGCAAGAAUAUGGGCAGUAGGUUCAAACUGUUGUGGAAAAACAACUUUGAACCUAGACUUCUCUCCCCAAACUAUCAUUCAAAAUUGACAGCAAAAUAAAUACAUCUUCAGGCUUGCAACACCUUGGGAUUUUUUUUUGAGUCAUGACCUAUAUCUGAAAGACUCACUGAAUAAUGUACCCAGCAUGAGAAAAAUGAACUGAGAAGGAAGUUGUAGUUUUAAGAAAGAAGGGUGAACAAAUAAAUCAGUAAAACAUAAAGUUAAUCUAUGUAUAUUAUUUUCUAUUCAAUAGCCUUCAUAUAUGCAAACUGCAUCCACUUAGAAUUUAUCAUGAAAGAAAAAAGUCCUGUAGUAAUUUUAAAAAAAGAUAAAUUAAGAAUAACUGUAAGAAGAAAUGUACACACUCUGUGUGAAUAAAGCUAUGAAAUGAAACUGAAGAACCCAAAGAGAAUUGGAACCGAUAAAAAGCAGACUGUUGUUGUUGUUGUUGUUGUUUAAGAUUUUAUUUAUUUGUUUGACAGAGAGAGACACAGCAAGAGAGGGAACACAAGCAGGGGGAAUGGGAGAGGGAGAAGCAGGCCUCCUAUAGAGUAGGGAGCCCAAUGUGGGGCUCUAUCCCAGGACCCUGGGAUCACAACCUGAGCUGAAGGCAGACGCUUAGAAACUGAGCCACCCAGGUGCCCCAAGCAGACUGUUUUUGGAUAAGAAGACCCCAAAUCAUGAAUUACACAUUUUCACUAAGUAAUCUAUAAAUUUAAUGUUAUUCCAAUAAAAAUACCAACAGAUCUUUCCUUGAAGCAUCGAAAUGAGUUUAGUCAUUGAAAGAUAAAAAGCAAGAAUAUCCAGGAAAAAUCUAAAAAGGAAGAAAUCUGAGGGUAAUUAACAUUACCAAAUAUUAAACUGUAUUUUAAAGGUAUUGAUUAAAACGAUGUGGUUCUGCUGUGUGGCAGGUCAAUGGAACAGACUAGAAUGUCCAAAAAUAAAUCCAACUAUGUGUGUGAAUGUAGCAUAUUUUAAAGCUUGUGUUCAGAUUAGUUGGAGAAAAGUGGAUUAUUCAAUAAAUGAUGUUAAAUGACUCGGGGACCUAUCUGAAAAUAUUUAAGCUUGUGUCAUGCAUCACACUUGACACCAAAUAAAUUGCAGAUGGACCUAAUACUUAUGUGUAAAAAUAAGGAAACCACAGAAGUACAUGAAGAAAAAGUGGGACAUUUAUUUUUAUAAUCUUAGUAUAGGGAAGGCCUAAAUAGAGCUCUCAAUCAGAAAGCAUGAAAGAAAACUAUUUUUUUAAUAUUGACUAUUUUAUUAUUAUUUUUUUAAAGAUUUUUUCAUUUAUUUAUUUAUUUAUUUGAGAGAGUGAGUGGGAGAGAGCAGAGAGAGAAUCUGAAGCAGACUCUGCACUGAGCACAGAACCCAAUGUGGGGCUCAAUCCCACAACUGUGAGAUCAUGACCUGAGCCGAAUCCAAGAGUCAGAUGCUUAACUGACUGAGCGACUGAGGCACCCUGAAAAUAUUGACUAUUUUAAACAAAAUUAUCUUUGUAGCAAAAACACCACAACAAGUUCAAGAAACAACACACUGGGGAAAUAUUUGCAACAAAAUUCAAAGACAAAUAGUUAGCUCCUUAUUUUUAAAAAAAAGUUUCUACAAAUCAAAGAGAAAAAUUCUAAGCUCCUAAAAAGAAAAUUGGCAAAAGACCCAAAUGUGGAAGAACAUAGUAAAGGAAUUUAAAAUAGUUCCUGAACAUACAGAAACUUUAGUCAUGAUAUAGAAGUAUCAGUUAAAAAAUAUAAGACAUUAGUCUUUUUCACUUAUUAGACUGAAAAAAAAUCAUUAAUUUCAAACCUAAUGGUUUUACUGUUUGGCAGGGGGAAAACACUAUCAUACAUUGCCAUAAAGUUCUGUCAAGAACAAUCUGGCAGAAGCUGUGAACAAAAUUUUUUUUUAAGAUUUUAUUUACUUAAUUGACAGGGAGAGAGAGCACAAGUGGAGGGAGCAGCAGAGGGAGAGGGAGAAGCAG